CCUACGGGAGGCAGCAGUGAGGAAUAUUGGUCAAUGGACGAGAGUCUGAACCAGCCAAGUAGCGUGAAGGAUGACUGCCCUAUGGGUUGUAAACUUCUUUUAUGAAGGAAUAAAACGAGGCACGUAUGCCUUUUUGCAUGUACUUUAUGCAUAAGGAUCGGCUAACUCCGUGCCAGCAGCCGCGGUAAUACGGAGGAUCCGAGCGUUAUCCGGAUUGAUUGGGUUUAAAGGGAGCGUAGAUGGGUUGUUAAGUCAGUUGUGAAAGUUUGCGGCUCAACCGUAAAAUUGCAAUUGAUACUGGCAGUCUUGAGUACAGUUGAGGUAGGCAGAAUUCGUGGUGUAGCGGUGAAAUGCUUAGAUAUCACGAAGAACCCCGAUUGCGAAGGCAGCUUACUAAACUGUGACUGACAUUGAUGCUCGAAAGUGUGGGUAUCAAACAGGAUUAGAUACCCUGGUAGUC
rnacentral:rRNA from 1 species